CAGUAUGAUGCUGCUCAUGGUCAUUGCUGCUGUGGAUAAUUUUAAAGAUAUAAUGAACUCCUGGCUGUGUGGCUUCCAGUUUCAGCUGCGCUUCUGCUGUUAUUGAUUCUGAUUGUUGUUUUCAUCUGGAGAUGGAGACAGAGACCCAAGCAAGAUGAACACCAAAUCGGAGAGAUAAACAGCAGCACAACCAUUGACACAAUCUACUCUAAACCUGAAGAUCCUGUGAUAUACAGCACUAUAAAUGAUGAAAGCCCUAAUGAUCCCAACAAGAACAUAACCUACAGUACUAUUGAUCAUGUUCCUGAGAGUGAAGAAAAGCCUCCAGCAGGUGGAACAAUAUACAGCAUAACAUACAGUACUGUGGGUCCACACUGACAGCAACAGUGAGAAAAGCACAAGAACAGAACCUUCUGACCAACAUAAACAAAAUCAAUAACAGAGGAU